rnacentral:rRNA from 1 species
AUUGAACGCUGGCGGCAUGCCUUACACAUGCAAGUCGAACGGCAGCACGGGAGCAAUCCUGGUGGCGAGUGGCGAACGGGUGAGUAAUAUAUCGGAACGUGCCCGGUCGUGGGGAUAACGUAGCGAAAGCUACGCUAAUACCCGCAUACGAUCUACGGAUGAAAGCGGGGGAUCGCAAGACCUCGCGCGAUUGGAGCGGCCGAUAUCAGAUUAGGUAGUUGGUGAGGUAAAGGCUCACCAAGCCGACGAUCUGUAGCUGGUCUGAGAGGACGACCAGCCACACUGGGACUGAGACACGGCCCAGACUCCUACGGGAGGCAGCAGUGAGGAAUAUUGGACAAUGGGCGCAAGCCUGAUCCAGCCAUGCCGCGUGCAGGAAGAAGGUCCUAUGGAUUGUAAACUGCUUUUAUACAAGAAGAAACACUCCCUCGUGAGGGAACUUGACGGUACUGUAUGAAUAAGGACCGGCUAACUCCGU